rnacentral:pre_miRNA from 11 species
AAAUUGGGUUCCUGUGAACUCCCACUGAAAGACCCCCAGAGUGGGGAGACCCUCACUCAAGUCUCGGGAUAAACCGACGCCCCAAUAAUUCAAGAGAAACC